rnacentral:rRNA from 1 species
AGUGAACGCUGGCGGCAGGCCUAACACAUGCAAGUCGAACGGCAGCACAAGAGAGCUUGCUCUCUGGGUGGCGAGUGGCGGACGGGUGAGGAAUGCAUCGGAAUCUGCCCAUUUGUGGGGGAUAACCUCGGGAAACCGGGACUAAUACCGCAUACGACCUACGGGUGAAAGCAGGGGAUCUUCGGACCUUGCGCAGAUGGAUGAGCCGAUGCCGGAUUAGCUAGUUGGAGGGGUAAAGGCCCACCAAGGCGACGAUACGUAGCUGGUCUGAGAGGAUGAUCAGCCACACUGGGACUGAGACACGGCCCAGACUCCUACGGGAGGCAGCAGUGGGGAAUAUUGGACAAUGGGCGCAAGCCUGAUCCAGCCAUGCCGCGUGUGUGAAGAAGGCCUUCGGGUUGUAAAGCACUUUUGUUGGGAAAGAAAAGCAGCCGGUUAAUACCCGGUUGUCAUGACGGUACCCAAAGAAUAAGCACCGGCUAACUUCGUG